AGACUAGACAAUGCAAAACAACAAUAUAUUCCUAUGCGCAGUACGAGAAUCUAGCAUCGAUGACGUCACGGAGGAAACAGCUGGGCGAUUGCGUCAUCACUACCUUCAUCUUCCUCUGGGCUCCGCUGGGGAUUUAAACCACGCCGUAAAUCCCUUCUUUGUGACCUGGUAAUGCUGUCUGGACGACAUGGGCACUGAUGAUAUCCAAUGGUGCUCCCACUCAGAUGACGGAACUGCUGAUCUUUGGGGAUAUACACUGCCACAGCCACCUUACUCACCUAUACUGCAGUGCUGACCCAUCUUCAAUAGUCCUGUGGCUGCUGUAUUGAGAGUUACCAGCAGAGAUAACAGGGAAUAAGGAGGUACCCUUUGUCGAGGAGGAGCAAGGAAGAUUACUGAGACUAUUGGGCCCAUACAGCACUCAUGAAUAUCUACCAAGACGGUGUUUGAUGUAAUACCGUGAUGCAAACUCCAGGCACUGAGUGUGUGGUACCAGAACACUGCAAGGAUGACGUCUGGUAGUGAAGACCCCAACAGGAGAAGUACAGGCGUCGGGAUGGCUGGGUGUAAAGACUGUCGAGUGCUGCCGCCUCACCACGGCUGCCACCACUCAAGACACAGCAGCGCCAACACCUGGAAGUGAGAAAGCAUCAUCUAGUGUCAAAGGAUGUGGCCGAGCGUUUGGAUGCCUCUCAACCAGUCAGCGAACGUCCUAUGCCCAGGUAAGUCCUUCUCCCAGACAGUUCCUCAGUAUCCAUGUGUCCGCAGGCCCCGGAUCUGAAAAAUUAACUCUGUAUAACAUUUGCAAAGGUUGAAGAAUUACUAGAAAAUGAAAUGAGCUCAUAUAGUAUUUGCAGACUGAUAAACAUUGACAAGUUCCACAAAUAUUAAUCAGCACUUGCUUGAAAAUUUACAACCCAGUAUAACAUUUGCAAAGUUUGAAAGAAAUUGACAAGUUCCACAAAUAUUAAUUCAGCACUUACUUAAAAAUUUACAACCCAGUAUGACAUUUGCAAAGGUUGAAGAAUUACUAGAAAGCGAAAUGAGCUCGUAUAGUGUUUGCAAAGCUUGAUAAAAAUUGACAAGCUCCACAAAUAUUAAAUCAGCACUUGCUUAAAAAAAUUACUACGCAGACCUAAUAUUCAUAUAUCCACAGAACAUAUUUCUCCUGAUUCCCACUGAAGAUUUUCCCAAUACCACUGUUGUUACCCCACAUGUAUUACUGUCAUGGAAAUAAUAAAGAAAACUCCUCCA